rnacentral:rRNA from 1 species
UGGGGAAUAUUGGACAAUGGGCGCAAGCCUGAUCCAGCCAUGCCGCGUGAAGGAUGAAGUAUUUCGGUAUGUAAACUUCGAAAGAAUAGGAAGAAUAAAUGACGGUACUAUUUAUAAGGUCCGGCUAACUACGUGCCAGCAGCCGCGGUAAUACGUAGGGACCAAGCGUUGUUCGGAUUUACUGGGCGUAAAGGGCGCGUAGGCGGCAAUUCAAGUCAUCUGUGAAAUCUCCGGGCUUAACUCGGAACGGUCAGAUGAUACUGCUUUGCUAGAGUGCAGAAGGGGCAAUCGGAAUUCUUGGUGUAGCGGUGAAAUGCGUAGAUAUCAAGAGGAACACCUGAGGUGAAGACGGGUUGCUGGGCUGACACUGACGCUGAGGCGCGAAAGCCAGGGGAGCAAACGGGAUUAGAUACCCACGUAGUCCCUGAGCGGGCUGGCAAGGCGCAU